CCUACUUCUACAAUCGGGUCGGCACUAGGUACCACAACCACACUCCAUGCCUACUUCUACAAUCGGGUCGUCACUAGGUACCACAGCCACACCCCAUGCCUACUUCUACAAUCGGGUCGUCACUAGGUACCACAGCCACACCCCAUGCCUACUUCUACAAUCGGGUCGUCACUAGGUACCACAGCCACACCCCAUGCCUACUUCUACAAUCGGGUCGUCACUAGGUACCACAGCCACACUCCAUGCCUACUUCUACAAUCGGGUCGUCACUAGAUACCACAGCCACACCCCAUGCCUACUUCUACAAUCGGGUCGUCACUAGAUACCACAGCCAUGCCUACUUCUACAAUCGGGUCGUCACUAGGUACCACAGUCAUACCCCAUGCCUACUUCUACAAUCGGGUCGUCACUAGGUACCACAGCCACACCCCAUGCCUACUUCUACAAUCGGGUCGUCACUAGGUACCACAGUCAUACUCCAUGCCUACUUCUACAAUCGGGUCGUCACUAGGUACCACAGCCACACUCCAUGCCUACUUCUACAAUCAAUCUUCUUAAAAUGUGAUUUUAAACGUAAC